rnacentral:rRNA from 1 species
UACAGAGGUCUCAAGCGUUGUUCGGAUUCAUUGGGCGUAAAGCGCGUGUAGGCGGCCACGCAGGUCCGUUGUGAAAACUAGAGGCUCAACCUCUAGACGUCGACGGAAACCGUGUGGCUAGAGUCCGGAAGAGGAGAGUGGAAUUCCUGGUGUAGCGGUGAAAUGCGCAGAUAUCAGGAAGAACACCAAUGGCGAAGGCAGCUCUCUGGGACGGUACUGACGCUGAGACGCGAAAGCGUGGGGAGCGAACAGG